GACGAACGCUGGCGGCGUGCCUAAUACAUGCAAGUCGAGCGAAUGGAUUAAGAGCUUGCUCUUAUGAAGUUAGCGGCGGACGGGUGAGUAACACGUGGGUAACCUGCCCAUAAGACUGGGAUAACUCCGGGAAACCGGGGCUAAUACCGGAUAACAUUUUGAACCGCAUGGUUCGAAACUGAAAGGCGGCUUCGGCUGUCACUUAUGGAUGGACCCGCGUCGCAUUAGCUCGUUGGUGAGGUAACGGCUCACCAAGGCAACGAUGCGUAGCCGGCCGGAGAGGGUGAUCGGCCACACUGGGACUGAGACACGGCCCAGACUCCUACGGGAGGCAGCAGUAGGGAAUCUUCCGCAAUGGACGAAAGUCUGACGGAGCAACGCCGCGUGAGUGAUGAAGGCUUUCGGGUCGUAAAACUCUGUUGUUAGGGAAGAACAAGUGCUAGUUGAAUAAGCUGGCACCUUGACGGUACCUAACCAGAAAGCCACGGCUAACUACGUGCCAGCAGCCGCCGUAA
rnacentral:rRNA from 1 species